rnacentral:tRNA from 1 species
AAAAUCCGUCAGCUUUCUAAGUCGUGAGGGUUCAAGUC